AUGUUCAAUUUGGCAGCACAUAUUCCGAAAUUGGAAAGAUGGAGAGAAGAUUAGCAUGGCCCCUGCCCAAGGAUUACACGUAAAUCCAUUAAUUGUUCUCUCUAAUA